GCGGUCGUGGCGGAAUUUGGUAGACGCGCAGCGUUGAGGUCGCUGUCCGAUAAUCCGGGUGGAAGUUCAAGUCUUCUCGACCGCACCA
rnacentral:tRNA from 1 species